CGAGUCGACCAGACAGUCGCUGCCUGCGCAAGCAGGGGGAGGAAAGUCCGGGCUUCACAGGGCAGGGUGCCAGGUAACGCCUGGGGGGCGCGAGCCUACGACCAGUGCAGCAGAGAGCAGACCGCCGAUGGCCGCCUCCGGGCGGAUCAGGUAAGGGUGAAAGGGUGCGGUAAGAGCGCACCGCGCAGCUGGUAACAGUUUGUGGCACGGUAAACUCCACCCGAAGCAAGACCAAAUAGGUUCCCUAUAGGCGCGGCCCGCGCUGGGAACGGGUAGGUUGCUGGAGCCUGUGAGUGAUUGCAGGCCUAGACGAAUGACUGUCCACGACAGAACCCGGCUUACCGGUCGACUCGCUUA
rnacentral:RNase_P_RNA from 1 species